CCCCUCCGAGCCAACUAAAAAAAACAGUGCGCAUGCGCCGGGCCCUGACCUGGAAGUGGCUGGAUCCGGGGCAUGCGUGUUUCCAUGAGUGUGGCGGAGAUGGGGAGCCAGGAACCCUCCGAGCCCCCGUCGCCGGGAGACGCCACGCAGAACAGCGCCCGGCCUGCGGACCGCCACGGCCUGUUGAAACACAGCUGUGGGUUCUUGGACUUCUGGGACAUUGCGAAGCCUGAGCAGGAGACGCGACUUGAGGCCACGAAGCUGCCGGAGUAUCUGCGCGCUAGGCCGAAGAUGGAGCGGCGGGUUUGGGGCAGGGGCCGCGCACUUCCCGACAAGGAAGCGGCGGCGGGCCCAGGGAUUUGGGAUGGGGGCACGUGGUCGCGAACCUGGAUGACAAGGUGCACGGGGUGUGCAGCUUCUUGUCACCGUUCAACGCGAGGGUGCGCUUGGUUCCGCAGGGGUCUGAGAUGAAAUACGCCCUGAAGCGGCUAAUCACGGGACUCGGGGUCUGGCGAGAAACAGCCCGGCCCUGCUACAGUUUGGCCCUGGCACAGGCCUGCAGGGCAUUCAGCUGAUUGGAGUAGCCCACUCUCUGAGGAGCCCUGACAAGGGGAAGAGCAGUUAAGACCCAGGCCCGCCGGAUCAGCCUGAGUGGAGCUCAGACCGGGCUAUGGAGAGAAGACCCAGUGGCUGAGAAUUUCAGCAGAGCAAUCUAGGGACUGUAGAAGCUGUUACAGUCUUUUGAAGACCUCCAUUUGUGCAGCAUCCUGCAGCAGAUACAAGAAAAA